AGAGCAGCUUGGCUUGGCCCAGAGGUCUCAGCCAGCUGGGGAGAUGGGUGGGGAAAGGGAAGCUUACCUGUAUGGUUCAGGAGUCUGAUGGAGGUAGAGGAGAGGCAGCAGGAGAAUGGAAGUCCCCUGGGAUGGCAGGCUGCUCAGGGAGGGAAUUGGAAGGAAAAAAGAAAAGGGAGGGAAAUGGGGAAUUCAGGAUCAGGUGUAGUGAAGAACAGGAGAGAUGGCUAGAUGACCACAAAAAUGAAUGGAAAUCUGCAAAUGAUGAGGACAGGAGCAUGUUGUUCUCUGAGAGGCUCCACCCAGCAGCUGACUCAAACAGAUACAGAUACCCACAGCCAAACAGUGGAUGGAGCUUGUGGACUCUUAAGAAGAAUAGGAGGAAGGAUUUCAGGGCCCAAAGGGGAUAGGAACUCCACAAGAAGACUAACAGAGUCAACUCACCUGGACCCUUGGGUCUCUCAGAGUCUGAACCAUCAACCAAAGAACAUAGACAGGCUGCACCUAGGCCUCCCAGAUGUGUAGCAGAUGUGCAGCUUGGUCUUCAUACACAACAAAUGCAGAGGGAGCAUCCUCCUGCCCCCAAAUGUCAAAGAUGAUCUGGAUGUCCUCUAUAAAUGGUUUUUUCAAAACAAAUCAUUCUAAUCCAGGUGUGAGACUGAAGAAUACCCAGCAGUUCUCUUUAUGGAAAAAUAAAUGACUAACACAAGGAGA
rnacentral:lncRNA from 1 species